GGCAAGUCUGGUGCCAGCAGCCGCGGUAAUUCCAGCUCCAAUAGCGUAUAUUAAAGUUGUUGCAGUUAAAAGCUCGUAGUUGAACCUUGGCGGGCAGUGGUGGUGCAGGUUCGCCUGCGACUGCCGGUCUGUCCGCCGCUUUGGGAGCACUGCCCUCUGGGUAGGCGCUUCCGGUUACUGUGAAGAAAUUAGAGUGUUUAAAGCAGGCUUACGCUUGAAUACAUCAGCAUGGAAUAACAAGAUAGGACUCUGUCCGAC
rnacentral:rRNA from 1 species